CGCUUUACCUGGCAGGAGUAAUACCAUAAUCAAGAAGGUCGUUUUCAAAGGCCAAGAUUCUUCCAUUGCACUUUGACUGGGUUGACCAUCAUGAUUUCUCCCACCUGUGAGAAACUCCACUGCAUAACUUAUGGUACAAGGGACUACAUUUGGGCUGUGACAGU